ensembl:snRNA U6 U6 spliceosomal RNA
GUGCUUGCCUCAGCAGCACAUAUACUACAAUAGAAAUGAUACAGAGAUUAGCAUGGCCCCUGUGGGAGGAUGACACACCAAUACAUGAAGCAUUCCAUAUCUUU